rnacentral:rRNA from 1 species
GUUGUAUGGUUAAGUGACUAAGCGUACACGGUGGAUGCCUUGGCAGUCAGAGGCGAUGAAAGACGUAGUAACUUGCGAUAAGCCCAGAUUAGGUAGUAACAACCAUUUGAGUCUGGGAUUUCUGAAUGGGGAAACCCACGUGCAUAAGCACGUAUCAUUAACUGAAUACAUAGGUUAAUGAGGCGAACCGGGGGAACUGAAACAUCUAAGUACCCCGAGGAAGAGAAAUCAGCCGAGAUUCCGAAAGUAGCGGCGAGCGAAA